rnacentral:rRNA from 1 species
GUGAGGAAUUUUCCGCAAUGGGCGAAAGCCUGACGGAGCAAUGCCGCGUGAAGGAUGAAGGCCUAUGGGUUGUAAACUUCUUUUCUCAGAAAAGAAUUAUGACGGUAUCUGAGGAAUAAGCAUCGGCUAACUCUGUGCCAGCAGCCGCGGUAAGACAGAGGAUGCAAGCGUUAUCCGGAAUGAUUGGGCGUAAGGCGUCUGUAGGUUGUUUAAAAAGUAUUCUGUCAAAGAUUAGGGCUUAACCCUAGAUAGGCAGAAUAAACUUUUAAGCUAGAGUUUGGUAGAGGCAGAGGGAAUUCCCGGUGGAGCGGUGAAAUGCGUAGAUAUCGGGAGGAACACCAAAGGCGAAGGCACUCUGCUGGGCCAAUACUAACACUGAGAGACGAAAGCGAGGGGAGCAAAUGGGAUUAGAAACCCUAGUAGUCC